rnacentral:lncRNA from 1 species
UCACCUUCCACACUUCUCAGCCGUGCCAGCUCUGCUUCGCUGUCUUUCAUCUUCAGCAGCAAAGUCCUGUGCUCCUUCUCCAUCCCUGCCAGCAGCCUCUGCAGUUCAUCCACCUGCAGCUCCUUCUCCACCACGCUCCUCUCUGCUCUCCGCAGGGCACAGCUUGUCUGCUCUGCCUCCUCCCGGUACCGCGACACCGUCCUCUCGAGGUCCUUCUUC